AUUUACUAACACACAUAACCACGACAUUUACUAUGGGUUUACCAUAGUAACCAUAGUUUUACUCUGGUAUUUGUAUUUACUAACACACAUAACCACGACAUUUACUAUGGGUUUACCAUAGUAACCAUAGUUUUACUCUGGUAUUUGUAUUUACUAACACACAAUAACCACAACACUUACCAGGAUUUUACCACAGUAACUGUGUUUUUACUCUACACUAUUUGUAAAGCACAGUAACCACUAAGUUUGCCAUGCCUUUAAUAUCUUUUUGUGAUGUAAUUGUAAUUCAGUGUUUUUUCUGUCUUGCAGUUACGUCGGAUUACAUACUCCACAACAACCUGUAAUCCAGCAGAUCUUUAAAGAAGCCAUCUCUUGUAAAAUCUCUCUCUCCCUCUCUCUCUCUCUCUCUCUCUCUCUCUCUCUCUCUCUCUCUCGCUCUGCUAGAAUUAACAGGGAACUUCAACUCCACGAUCCCAAUGCUGAUAUUGAAGAAGCUGUCAAGGGGGCUGAACAAGUCCUUCAAAGGAUCAACCCUUCACAGGAAGGCCUGUCAUGAGAUUUGAAUUUGACCAUCUUGUGCAUUUAUGAAGAAGACCAAAAGCUGCAAAGGCAAACACUUCCAAUGGCAGAAACUGAGAGUUUGCAUGAUGGCCUUUUCUCAGACGCUGAAUCUGAUGUGUACAGAUGAACUCAGGAGCCUACUAGAGUUGCCAAGGAACUUGUGUUUGAACUGAAGACCAGAAACGCAAAGAAAAUCAGUCAAACCAGUCCUAAAGAAAUGAGGAAUGAACAUGGACUUCUUGUGCCCCAAAAGAAAAGACAGAAAGCUCCUAAAAUGAGCAAAUAAGCUGUGCAUCAUCUCUGUGAUUUGGGAAGGAAAUGACUGAAUAUGAUGAAGCCAGUUGAUGAAGAUAUCAAUUGAAUGGCCACCGAGUGCAUCACUGCUACCUGAACCCAUCAGUUAUCUUCUGUGAAGACUGCAUUCACAAACCGCUCUACUGCGACAGCUCAGAUGUUACGGCCUGUAAAAGUAAACAUCACAGCUAAACAACGAGAGCUAGUUGUGGUGGGAUUCUUUUGGCCAAUAUCCCCAACAAGAAUCAAUGACAUCUAGACCAGGUGGAGUGUGAGGAGGACCGUCAGAGACUCCAGCCAGCCGAGCCAUGGAUUGCUCUCACUGUUACCAUCAGGCAUGCGUUAUCACAGAACCUACACCAGCAGACAGUGAGACAAGUUCCUUUCACAGGCAAUCAGACUGAACUGAUCUCAUACCAGUAAAACCAUACACACCCCACCAACCUCAUAUGCCCUGCACUCUUAUCAGUUAUGCUGACUGGACUCAAUAUUAUUAUGCACCCUGACAUUCUGUUUGCACUAAUUCAUACCGUGCUUUACUGCAGAGAUGUAUGUGUACUGUGAUUAUUAUUGUUUUCAAUUCAUGCUCUUUGUAUAGCAUAAUUUUUUAACAUAUAUUGUUCUCUACCUGAAUUGAGUCCCUUAUAUAUGUGUGUUGCAUAUAUAUAUAUUCAGAAUUUGUAUUUCAUAUAUAUUCAUGAAGUAAUUCAUUUGUCAUCCAUACUGUCACGCUGCAGUCUGCACCCAAGACUUUCAUCACCUGUAUACUUGUGUUCAUUGUAUUGUGA